AUGCUUAUUUGUACAGGAAAGACCCUUCCUGUAGAAAUAGGCACCGGUGCUUCAAAAAAACUCGAUUUAUUUUUCUAUUUCUAUAGAAAUAGGUACCGGUGCUUCAGAAAAACCCGAUUUAUUUUUCUAAGCAUCUCUCUAAACACCUCCCAUUGUACAAGGCCUAAGUCGAGUAGGCAGACGCUUGAUCUAUGCGCGCUCCCCGCGAAUGCGGCGGGCGAGCUGGAUGUCCUUGGGCAUGAUGGUGACGCGCUUGGCGUGGAUGGCGCAGAGGUUGGUGUCCUCAAAGAGCCCGACGAGGUACGCCUCGGCGGCCUCCUGGAGGGCCAGCACGGCGUGGCUCUGGAACCUGAGGUCCGUCUUGAAGUCCUGCGCGAUCUCCCGCACCAGGCGCUGGAACGGCAGCUUGCGGAUGAGCAGCUCCGUGCUCUUCUGGUACUUGCGGAUCUCGCGCAGCGCCACGGUGCCGGGCCUGUAGCGGUGGGGCUUCUUCACGCCGCCCGUGGUCGGCGCCGACUUCCUCGCCGCCUUGGUGGCCAGCUGCUUGCGGGGCGCCUUGCCGCCGGUGGACUUCCGGGCGGUCUGCUUCGUACGCGCCAUCAAUCUCUCCUUCUCCUUGUCGAGGACUUCGAACUGGGAUUCGGCUUGCGCUCGCUGUGGUUUGGAGAACUUGAAGUGGAAGGCAACGAAUUCGGUAGUGAGGGGAGGAGAGGGGAAGUGGGGUGGGAAUUUUAUAGGUGA
rnacentral:rRNA from 1 species